AAGACAUUACAUAUGGGUAUGGUGAAAGUGGUCUAGAUUGCACAGGAAUUGACUUUGCCUCAGCUUCAGUUUUCGGCACGGAGUUUAUUUCCGGAGCAGGUUCUGCUACCGCUUCUACUUUGGGCUCAGGUUCUGCUGCUGCUUCUACUUUGAUCACAGGUUCUACUGCUGCUUCUGCUUUGAUCUCGGACACAGUUUCGGGAGUAGCUUCUGUUUUCUGUACAGUGCCACCAGCUGUAGCGAGCUCUGGAAUAUUUUCCGUUGCUGUGGGAAGAGACUUAUUGUUGGUGGAAGUUGGUAGAAGAGCC
rnacentral:lncRNA from 1 species